AUGCUUCAAGAUGUCAAUAGCCAGCUGAACAAUGUGACACAAUAUGUGGGUACAAUGGCAGCAUCAUUGUCAGCAUCAAUGGCACAAGAAGCAUCGCAAGAGGAUCCUCAACAGAAAUCAAAAGAGAAGGCUAUUAGUGAAUUGGCUAGGCUUAGCUUUACCGGGAGUGAGAUCGUUGAGGCUGCAACCGUAUUUGCUAAAGCUCCAAAUCAGAUGAACAUGAUGCUUGCGCUUCCAGAAAAUCUGAGGAGGGAGUAUGUCCUAAAAAUGCUCUCCGAUGAGAAAAAGAAGCACGGUUGA
rnacentral:rRNA from 1 species